AGAGCUCCAGCAGCAUAUAGAAGCUGACUUUUUUCUUUUAAAUGGGAAUACAACACACAGGACAGAUUGUUCUUGUUGUUUGUACUGUCACAAGGACAGAUAGUUGUAUUUGCAGCUCAUUAUUCUUUCCUUUAUUCCUGCUGAUAAACAUCCACUCAGGCCAUUCAGUGGAAAAGAGGUUGGAACUCGGCAUCGAGAGCUUCCAUUUGCAAAGGUAGAUGCCCAAAGAGCAAAGUGGUCAAGGUGACUCAGACAGUGUAAACCUAAGGGCAGAAUGGUGCUAACCUUGCCACCACACCCACUGCAUGACUGGUCUUUACCUUUGUCUUUUCUGAGUCACAUUUUGCAGACCAACGGCCAAGAAUAAGGAAUGAUCCUGGGACCCAUGGACAAGUUUGACACUAUGAAGCAAUUGCCAGACAUCAUAUUACCAUGGGCUUCUUGUUCACACCCUUGAUUUACACAUAGCAAUGUACCUCUCUAUGUGCUGCAUCCAUUAUCACACCGCUUAGUGUUUCCCUAAAGAAAAUGCUUAAAAUUAAGCUAAUGUGUUAUCUUCAAAACAAAGGAAAUCAAAAUGCAA